rnacentral:rRNA from 1 species
CGGUGAAUACGUUCUCAAGUCUUGUACUCACCGCCCGUCAACUCAAGGGAGAUGGGAGUACCCAAAGGGUCCUUUCGAGGGCACUAAGGUAAACUCAUUGACAGGGAGU